CGCCCCUUUCUCUGUAGGUCACCCACACACCUGGGACCCGGGGCCGUUUCCUCCUCACCACCAGGCUGGAGCCCGAGGAGGUGACCCUGAGGAGCGCGCAGCCGCCGGAGCCAUGGGUAGAUCCAGUCGGGAGCGUCGGCAACCAUCCCUCCUUCCGGCGGCGAUGAAGAAUUGAAGAGGCUUGAGGAGAAUGGGCGCAUGGGCCGUGCGCGUCUCCCGCGCUGGAGCCACCGGUCCUCGUCAUCUGCUAGGAUCCACGAGGAAUCGAUCCAUAUAAUGUUUGUGGGGAGCUCGGUUAGUGUCGAUGCCUCAAGGGUUUAUACAUAUCAAUUCCAUGUUGCUUAAAGCCACUGUAACCGUGGCUACUGGUUUUCAGGUAUAUGUUUAUGGAGUCAUAACGUGCUUGUUGACAACUCGUAUCGAAUGUUUAUAUUAUUUAUAACGUUUUCAUGGAAUGUCUACUGUUAAAAAACAUCUUGCGGGUACUUUAGUUAGGUACUAGAAAGCACAUACACACGCACAUGCCCAGCACAACCACAAGCAUGAAAACAAGGCAAAUUUUGGUGUUGUAAUUUAUGGAUACCUCUUGGUUACUUUGUUUCAAAAUAAAUAAUUAAAUUUUGGCUGGCAUUUUCACCAAUGUAGCCCCCAAAAAAAUCAUCUUUGAUGGAUUGAAUACGACAAAAGUUCUAUGUAGUUCGAUUGGUAAUUGUUCGUUCGUCGUCAUAUAAUUCAACAUUUUUCUCUCGGGCUAUCUAUGUGAUAGGUCUAUGUUAUCAACUCUUUAUUAGUAAAAAUAGUACCUAUUUUGCCAUAUCCAUGGUCAAUUCCUAUAUUUUUUCCUUGAAAAAAAUCCUACAUAUUCCAUAGACCAUGUUGCAUUUUAGAAUUUUGUUCAAUGUUCGGCCCCCCUUGUGUAUAAUACCUUGCUCCGCCGUUGCGCCUAACACAUGCGUACAGUUGUGGGCAUCCCUUUAUUAGUCCCACCUGCAGUCUGAAUGUGUAUCCCUAAGAAAGUGAAUGGUCAUGAUAACCUUCCUGAAGUAUGACUCUGUGUAUCCAUUGAAGUAAUGUUCAUGCAAAUCCUAUAAUUAUUGUUGUUAAAUAAUAAUGUUCAUCAUAAUAUAGGUUGCAUCCAAAGUAGUUUUAAAGACUUUAACAUAUCCAAACCAGCGAAAUGUUGCAUAUGCUACUAUUCAGAGUAUUCAUCUAGAAACUAAGGUUGGUGAUAUUUAGGUAGGUGCCAAAUUUGCACUUGUGUGCAUAGAUGAACCUAUUCUGGAUAAUGAGGAGUUGGUAAGGUAAGUUUCUGAUUGCAAGAGAAUUGGUGAUGCUUUUGCUUCAGGAUACUUAAUUGUCCAACCUCCAGCUUUUGUAAGUCGGAGUCUUUUCUUCCAUAUUCCACAAUUAUAUUUGUGAGCAUUUAAUCACAUAACUGUAAGGUCCAUUUUCCUUUUACAGAUUCAAAAGAAGCAUAAUGGAGUUGCAGCUGAACCGUUCUUCGGUUGGAUGAAGAAGCAAAUGUAAUUAGAAUACUUUACUUAGCAAUAAUUGUAGUUUGCAUUGAUGGAUUGAAAAAUGUAACACCAUUCAGAAGAUCUUUUUCUUUGGUCGAAUUGAUGCAAAUGCUAUGGUGUAAUAUUCUUCAUAGAUGAGUUCUCUAUAGUAAAAUAUAUAUGAAUGAUAUGAUGUCUAGCCAAUAACAUUGGUAUGUAUUUAUUGUAAUGCAUAUGUAUCCUACACUCUUGUAGAUUCAUCAUAAAUACCUUGAUAUUUUCAAUUUGUGUAUGUGUUGUGCUUCAA